GGGAGGAAGUGGACGUUCCUGCUGAUGUUCUGUAAUCAGUGAUGUGAUUGAAGUCGUGUAGCUGACUGAUUGUCAUGGCUUGCAGAUGUUGAAGAUGGUGACCACAGAUUUGAUUGCAUUUGGAGAUGCUGAGCAUCACUGCAGCAGGACCACAUGGCUGAGUCUGGACCAGCUCUGACCAAUGGGAAUGGUGCCCCCUACUGACCUGCAGAUACUGGAGCCCUGCUGACCCCCAUCAGUUCAGAUCUGCUGGAGACAGACCCUCCACUGCACCACCUCUACACCCUGACCAAUGUUCCUCUGCUGUAACGGACACGUGGAAGAUCUGCAGGAUCCUCUCAGACCUGACAGAUACAGAUCAAUGGGGAAGAUGAGUCAGUGAAAGGAGAUCUUACCUUCGACUCAGGUCUGCUACAUGCUCCUGGAGCCAACUGGUGCUGGCAGCUGUUAAAGAGAGAGAGAGAGAGAGAGAGAGAGAGAGAGAGAGAGAGAGAAGGAGGUAGGGAAAACACAGUCAGAUAAACCUUCAUUCACAGCCCCAUCUAUUCAACCUAACAUAUAGCGCCACCUGCAGGUCUGUUACAGCGACUGACUGAGAUUAGUGUAGCCAGACAGGCCAACUGACCAGCAUAGGUGUUGAAAAAAAUAUAAUAAUCACCAUAUUUACCACAUGUACUUUUUACUGUUUUUUUAUCAAAAGAAAAAUUCACACUGUUCUCAUUUUCCAUUAUCUAUUUACUAGAGACUAGAGAUUAUAUCUGCCCAGUAUCAUUUAUUUUACUUUAAUCUUGGAUAUAUGGAGAUAUUUAAGAUAUUUGGAGUGCAUUAUUAUUAUUAUUAUUA